CCUACGGGGGGCUGCAGUGGGGAAUUUUGCGCAAUGGGCGAAAGCCUGACGCAGCAACGCCGCGUGUGUGAUGAAGGUCUUUGGAUUGUAAAGCACUUUCGACCGGGACGAAAACCCUCUGGCUAACAUCCAGGGGCUUGACGGUACCGGGAGAAGAAGCACCGGCUAACUCUGUGCCAGCAGCCGCGGUAAUACAGAGGGUGCAAGCGUUGUUCGGAAUUAUUGGGCGUAAAGCGCGUGUAGGCGGCUUUGCAAGUCGGAUGUGAAAGCCCUCG
rnacentral:rRNA from 1 species